GCUUACCAAGGCGACGAUACCUACCCGACCUGAAAGGGUGAUCGGCCACACUGGAACUGAGACACGGUCCAGACUCCUACGGGAGGCACCAUUAGGGAAUCUUCCGCAAUGGGCGAAAGCCUAACGGAGCAACGCCGCGUGAGUGAUGAAGGUCUUCGGAUCGUAAAACUCUGUUGUUAGGGAAGAACAAAUUUGUUAGUAACUGAACAAGUCUUGACGGUACCUAACCAGAAAGCCACGGCUAACUA
rnacentral:rRNA from 1 species